AAAAUUCUUUGGCCAGCAAGUCAUUAGAUCCCACAAGGUGUUCAAAGGGAGGAAACAUUGCCCCCACCCCCUGGGGUGGAGGGAGGAAUGCCAUUCAUGAUAAGUUCCAGGAAGAGUAUGUGACAGGAGCUAAAUUAGACAGGUGUGGCCGCCUCUGCACAAUGGCAUCUGCCACACUCUCUGAGAACCUCCCUCACCUAGUGCAUGCCACACACAUGAAUGAGCAAAUGAAUGAAGAGGUGGCUCACUUUGAAGAGAGGAUUUCUCAGCAGUCAGUUGGACCCUGGUAUAGCCUUGAUGGUCAGCAAAUGUGGUUUACCUUUCUCCUGAUUUCCAGCUCCUGGCACAGAAAGAGCAUCAGCAUGGACUUCGACCACUUAGAGUUUCCACCAGCCACUGUUAUGAGACCUUUUGAAAUUAUACUAAUCAGUGUUUUUAAUGGUCCAUCUCUGAAUGUUUAAAAAUAUUAAUUUUAAUUUAAUUUCAGAAUACUUCCUGUGUUCAUGUGAUCAGACACCAGCAGCUAACUUCCCAACUCCCCAGAAGAUAAGCAUGGUUAAUAGUUAAUAGAGGAGACUCCACACAGUGUCCCCAGAAAACCCAUUGGUUAUCCUCAGACCUAAAGAGCAAUCUAGCCAAGGCUUUGGGCUUGCACAAGAAAGAGGAAAGAAAAAAGUCCCUUGUCUUCUUUAAAAACAAAGGAUGAUUUGGGGUGAAUUUUUCGGAUAACUGUGUGCAUCGCCCGGAGCCGUGGAGCUCAAGGUCACCUUCCAACUACAGCAGCGGCCACUGUGAGCUAGUGGCAGUGCCCAGAAGACGGUCUUCAUCAAGACCUUGGCAAGUCCAGAUCUUCCGUGGAGCAUGAAUUUAUAAGUGCAGAGAUCCAUCUAAUUACUUCCCACCUUGAAGAGAUCUGGUCAAGUGCUAAAAUUGAACCUUUUAAAAGAAAAAUUAUAUUUGCAAAGUACUUGAAUUCACUUAACUUUCGAUAUUCCUGUGUUAGGUACAUUAACAUAAAUAGUUAAUGCAAGUCCUGGACUAUAUUCCUACAAAACCCUGUUUGACUUGGUUUCACUAUGCAAAACAGAUCAGUCACUUAAAGACCAUCUCAGAAAGAACAUCGUUUUAUUAAUAACUAUGAAAAGAUUAUAUAGGCAGCCUGGGUGGCUCGGCAGUUUAGCACCGCCUUCAGCCCAGGGCCUGAUCCUGGAGACCCAAGAACGAGUCCCGCGUCAGGCUCCCUACAUGGAACCUGCUUCUCCCUCUGUCUGUGUCUCUGCCUCUCUCUCUCUGUGUUUCUCAUGAAUAAAUAAAUAAAAUCUUUAAAUAAAUAAAUAAAU
rnacentral:lncRNA from 12 species